rnacentral:lncRNA from 1 species
CACAAUCCAGUCCACAUGAAAAUGAAAGUUAGGGUGCGUUUGGUUCGCAUUAUGAAAGAUUAUUAUGAAUAAAAGAUAUCCGAGAAUCUUAUUCCUAUUCAUUCUAUUACUAAGAAUGUGGAAUUUCUAUGUUUGGUUCGCACGGUAAUAUUAAUUAGCCAUAUUAUUUAAUAUUACAAAAAAUAUACAAUUAAUUAAUUUAUUUAUUUAAUUAAUUUUAGAUAAUGUUACCAAAAGUUUCAACAUCUUUUUAGAAAAAUGAGAGAGAGAGUAUAAGUCAGAGAGAGAGAGAGCAUAAUUAAAAAAAUAGAAAGAAAAAUAUAGUCGAAAUUAGAGGAAGUGAGAGAGUUGAAAUUUUAGAAAGAGAGAGAGAGAGAAAGCUUAGUUUAGAGAGAGAAAAAAAGUUGAAUUUUAGAGAGAAAAAUAAGUUUAGAGAGAGAUAUAAGGUUAGAGUGUAACGAAAAAUAAUAUCAAUUAGCCGGCGGGUAGGAAGAAAGAAAGAGAUUAGACAUAUUAUGAUUAUCCCAAUCCAUUAAUAUGAGGAUACCCAUCCUCCCUCAAGGGAAUGAGAUUAGUAUUUUGGGGUGAAUCUUAUUUCCAAGUUAAUCCAAUAUUACCAACUAGAUUACUUAGUGCGUUUAGCCAAAUACCGUCAUAUUUUUUUUAUUUCCAUUGGAUUACUAGAAAUCUUUAAAAGAUAGCGCGAACAAAACGCACCCUUAGUGUAUAAAAAAACCCCACCAAGUCCACAAUAAAAAUCCAAAAUCUUGCAAGUCCACAAUAAAUAUUCAAAAUCAAAAAUGAUUU